UUUGAAGGCUGGCUGCUGAGGCACCCGUUCCUCCUGCAGAGCCCCUGGUAGCCGUGGUGGUCUGCCAUUUCCCGGGAAGGUGACAUGAGUUUAGCUUACCCUGAUUUGAGUCAGCUAGGGCAGCGUUCAAAAGUAUGAACACAACUUCAUGUUCUCUUCACUUCUGCAGUUCAUCCUGGAAUGGGAAGUCCAGAAAGGAAGUAACUGAUUGCUGUAGUAAACCAUUGAAGCCAGGAGUGGAGGGGAUACAGAUGCGUAGCAGGAGACUGGAAAACAACAGAAGGACCUGAGUCCAGCAUAGGAAGAAGAGAAAACAUGUGGAGGAUUGGCAAGGAGGCACACUUGCUAGGGUUGUAACAGCAGGAAA